rnacentral:lncRNA from 13 species
AGUCUGGGUGUAGUCUACUGCAUGUUCACCAUAUCACACUAAUUUACAGAGUCUGGGUGUAGUCUACUGCAUGUUCACCAUAUCACACUAAUUUACAGUCUGGGUGUAGUCUACUGCAUGUUCACCAUAUCACACUAAUUUACAGUCUGGGUGUAGUCUACUGCAUGUUCACCAUAUCACACUAAUUUACAGUCUGGGUGUAGUCUACUGCAUGUUCACCAUAUCACACUAAUUUACAGAGUCUGGGUGUAGUCUACUGCAUGUUCACCAUUAGCGGUGCAGCUGAUGACCUGUGGAAAUACAUAUGUGAUAUAGAAUUACAGAAUGUUAGUAACUAAUUAUGAGUUAUACCAGUUUAACUGUCUC